AGCAGCCGCGGUAAUUCCAGCUCCAAUAGCGUAUAUUAAAGUUGUUGCAGUUAAAAAGCUCGUAGUUGAAUUUCGGGGUUAGUAGGUUGGUCAUGCCUCUGGUAUGUACUGAUCUCACUGAUUCCUCCCUCUUGACGAACUGUAAUGUCAUUAAUUUGGUGUUGCAGGAAAUCAGGACUGUUACUUUGAAAAAUUAGAGUGUUUAAAGCAGGCUUAGGCUUGAAUACAUUAGCAUGGAAUAAUGAAAUAGGACGUUUGAUCCUAUUUUGUUGGUUUCUAGGAUCGACGUAAUGAUUAAUAGGGAUAGUUGGGGCAUUAGUAUUCAAUUGUCAGAGGUGAAAUUCUUGGAUUUAUUGAAGACUAACUACUGCGAAAGCAUUUGCCAAGGAUGUUUUCAUUAAUCAAGAACGAAAGUUAGGGGAUCGAAGACGAUCAGAUACCGUCGUAGUC
rnacentral:rRNA from 1 species